GAUGAACGCUGGCGGCGUGCCUAACACAUGCAAGUCGAACGAAGCACCUUACCUGAUUCUUCGGAUGAAAGUUUGGUGACUGAGUGGCGGACGGGUGAGUAACGCGUGGGUAACCUGCCCUGUACAGGGGGAUAACAGCUGGAAACGGCUGCUAAUACCGCAUAAGCGCACGAGGAGACAUCUCCUUGUGUGAAAAACUCCGGUGGUACAGGAUGGGCCCGCGUCUGAUUCGCUGGUUGGCAGGGUAACGGCCUACCAAGGCAACGAUCAGUAGCCGGUCUGAGAGGAUGAACGGCCACAUUGGAACUGAGACACGGUCCAAACUCCUACGGGAGGCAGCAGUGGGGAAUAUUGCACAAUGGGGGAAACCCUGAUGCAGCAACGCCGCGUGAGUGAAGAAGUAUUUCGGUAUGUAAAGCUCUAUCAGCAGGGAAGAUAAUGACGGUACCUGACUAAGAAGCUCCGGCUAAAUACGUG
rnacentral:rRNA from 1 species